rnacentral:piRNA from 1 species
GAAAAAAAACAGUUUAGAAGUAGAGACU